GGGCCCGCACAAGCGGUGGAGCAUGUGGUUUAAUUCGAUGAUACGCGAGGAACCUUACCAGGGCUUAAAUGUAGUUUGACCGGUCUGGAAACAGGCCUUCUCUUCGGAGCAGAUUACAAGGUGCUGCAUGGUUGUCGUCAGCUCGUGCCGUGAGGUGUUAGGUUAAGUCCUGCAACGAGCGCAACCCCUAUUCUUAGUUGCCAGCGGUUCGGCCGGGGACUCUAAGAAGACUGCCAGCGCAAGCUGAGAGGAAGGUGGGGAUGACGUCAAAUCAUCACGGCCCUUACGUCCUGGGCUACACACGUGCUACAAUGGUACAGACAGAGGGCAGCCACCUGGCGACAGGGAGCGAAUCCUUAAACUGUAUCUCAGUUCGGAUCGGAGUCUGCAACUCGACUCCGUG
rnacentral:rRNA from 1 species